UUGACGUUGAAUCAAGGGUUUGUUUUAUUUGAUUAUAAAAUUUGGCUUAUGCAACAUGAAUGCAAAGUAACCAACAAGAAAUUAAAGGGUCUCAUUGUAAGGUGUCCCAAGAGAAAGUAUUUUGUGUGCAAAAGUGACCUAAGCUAAACAAACGAAAAUGGUCUUACAAACAUGUCCUCCUAAGGUGGUGCCAUGAUGCCAUUCUUACAACAUGCAUGUAAGUUACGAAUAAAAUCUAACAUUUACA
rnacentral:lncRNA from 1 species